rnacentral:rRNA from 1 species
AACGAACGCUGGCGGCAGGCUUAACACAUGCAAGUCGAGCGCCCCGCUAGGGGAGCGGCAGACGGGUGAGUAACGCGCGGGAAUCUACCCAUCUCUACGGAAUAACGCAUGGAAACGUGUGCUAAUACCGUAUACGUCCUUCGGGAGAAAGAUUUAUCGGAGAUGGAUGUGCCCGCGUAGGAUUUGCUAGUUGGUGGGGUAAAGGCCUACCAAGGCGACGAUCCAUGUCUGGUCUGAGAGGAUGAUCAGCCACACUGGGACUGAGACACGGCCCAGACUCCUACGGGAGGCAGCAGUGGAGAAUAUUGGACAAUGCGCGCAAGCCUGCUCCAGCCAUGCCGCGUGAGUGAUGAAGUAACUAUGGUUGUAAAGCUCUUUCACCGGUGAAGAUAAUGACGUUAACCGGAGAAGAAGCCCCGGCUAACUUCGUGCCAGCCGCCACAGUAGGAC